rnacentral:rRNA from 1 species
GGUAGAGCACUGAAUGUCCUAGGGGGUAUUGCACUUACCGAAGACUAUCAAACUCCGAAUGCCGUAUUCUUUUGCUUGGGAGUCAGACUAUGGGUGAUAAGAUUCAUAGUCAAGAGGGCAACAGCCCAGAUCGUCAGCUAAGGUCCCUAAAUGUAAGUUAAGUGGUAAAGGAUGUGGAAUUGCACAGACAACCAGGAUGUUGGCUUAGAAGCAGCCACUCAUUUAAAGAGUGCGUAAUAGCUCACUGGUCGAGUGAUUCUGCGCCGAAAAUUUCCGGGGCUAAAACUUACUACCGAAGCUACGGCAUCAUUAUGAUGGGUAGGGGAGCUUUCUAUACGGGUUGAAGCAUGACCGUAAGGACAUGUGGACUGUAUAGAAGUGAGAAUGUUGGCAUGAGUAGCGAGAUGUGGGUGAGAAUCCCACAGGCCGUAAACCCAAGGUUUCCAGGGGAAGGUUCGUCCGCCCUGGGUUAGUCAGGACCUAAGCCGAGGCCGAAAGGCGUAGGUGAUGGACAACAGGUUGAUAUUCCUGUACCACCAAUAACCGUUUGAGAAAUGGGAUGACACAGUAGGAUAAGCUAACCGCACUGUUGGUUAUGUGCGGGCAAGUAUUGAGGCAGUUCCGAUAGGCAAAUCCGUCGGAAUAAUGCUGGGGUACGAUGCGGAGCGAAAUUAAGUAGCGAAGUAGCUGAUUUCACACUGUCGAGAAAAGUCUCUAUCGAGGUUAAAGGUGCCUGUACCGCAAACCGACACAGGUGGGUGAGGAGAGUAUCCUAAGGCCAGCGAGAGAACUGUUGUUAAGGAACUCGGCAAAAUGACCCCGUAACUUAGGGAGAAGGGGUGCCUUCGAAAGAAGGCCGCAGAGAAUAGGCCCAAGCGACUGUUUACCAAAAACAUAGGUUUCUGCUAAGUCGCAAGACGAUGUAUAGGAGCUGACGCCUGCCCGGUGCUGGAAGGUUAAGGGGAUCUGUUAGAGCAAUCGAAGCAGUGAACUUAAGCCCCAGUAAACGGCGGCCGUAACUAUAACGGUCCUAAGGUAGCGAAAUUCCUUGUCGGGUAAGUUCCGACCCGCACGAAAGGCGUAACGAUUUGGGCACUGUCUCAACAACAGACUCGGUGAAAUUGUAAUACCGGUGAAGAUGCCGGUUACCUGCGACAGGACGGAAAGACCCCAUGGAGCUUUACUGUAGCUUGACAUUGAGUCUCGGUGCUACAUGUACAGGAUAGGUGGGAGACUAUGAAGCAUGGACGUCAGUCUGUGUGGAGUCAUCCUUGGGAUACCACCCUUGUAGUACUGGGAUUCUAACCAGAGGCCAUGAAUCUGGUCUUGGGACACUGUCAGGUGGACAGUUUGACUGGGGCGGUCGCCUCCCAAAAAGUAACGGAGGCGCUCAAAGGUUCUCUCAGUACGGUCGGAAAUCGUACGAAGAGUGUAAAGGCAAAAGAGAGCUUGAUUGCAAGACAUACAGGUCGAGCAAGGACGAAAGUCGGACUUAGUGAUCCGGUGGUUCCGCAUGGAAGGGCCAUCGCUCAACGGAUAAAAGCUACCCUGGGGAUAACAGGCUGAUCUCCCCCAAGAGUCCACAUCGACGGGGAGGUUUGGCACCUCGAUGUCGGCUCAUCACAUCCUGGGGCUGUAGUAGGUCCCAAGGGUUGGGCUGUUCGCCCAUUAAAGUGGUACGCGAGCUGGGUUCAGAACGUCGUGAGACAGUUCGGUCCCUAUCCGUCGCAGGCGUAGGAAAUUUGAGGAGACCUGUCCUUAGUACGAGAGGACCGGGAUGGACGUACCGCUGGUGUACCAGUUGUU